rnacentral:rRNA from 1 species
AGUGAACGCUGGCGGUAGGCCUAACACAUGCAAGUCGAACGGCAGCACAGUAAGAGCUUGCUCUUACGGGUGGCGCGUGGCGGACGGGUGAGGAAUACAUCGGAAUCUACUUUUUCGUGGGGGAUAACGUAGGGAAACUUACGCUAAUACCGCAUACGACCUACGGGUGAAAGCAGGGGAUCUUCUGACCUUGCGCGAUUGAAUGAGCCGAUGUCGGAUUAGCUAGUUGGCGGGGUAAUGGCCCACCAAGGCGACAAUCCGUAGCUGGUCUGAGAGGAUGAUCAGCCACACUGGAACUGAGACACGGUCCAGACUCCUACGGGAGGCAGCAGUGGGGAAUAUUGGACAAUGGGCGCAAGCCUGAUCCAGCAAUACCGCGUGGGUGAAGAAGGCCUUCGGGUUGUAAAGCCCUUUUGUUGGGAAAGAAAAGCAGCAGGUUAAUACCCCGCUGUUCUGACGGUACCCAAAGAAUAAGCACCGGCUAACUUCGUG